GGCCGGUUAGCUCAGUUGGUUAGAGCGUCGUGCUAAUAACGCGAAUGUCGUGGGUUCGAGCCCCAUACCGACCA
rnacentral:tRNA from 1 species